AAACCCAGAAAAGCGAUGGACAGUGUCCUUUAGUCCGUCAUUUUUCUGGUUUGUU
rnacentral:pre_miRNA from 1 species